rnacentral:rRNA from 2 species
UGGGGAAUAUUGCACAAUGGGGGGAACCCUGAUGCAGCGACGCCGCGUGAGUGAAGAAGUAUUUCGGUAUGUAAAGCUCUAUCAGCAGGGAAGAAGAUGACGGUACCUGCACAAGAAGCCCCGGCUAACUACGUGCCAGCAGCCGCGGUAAUACGUAGGGGGCAAGCGUUAUCCGGAUUUACUGGGUGUAAAGGGAGCGUAGACGGAAGGUCAAGUCAGGUGUGAAAGGCAUGGGCUCAACCCGUGGACUGCACUUGAAACUGGUCAUCUUGAGUGUCGGAGGGGCAGGCGGAAUUCCUGGUGUAGCGGUGAAAUGCGUAGAUAUCAGGAAGAACACCGGUGGCGAAGGCGGCCUGCUGGACGAUCACUGACGUUGAGGCUCGAAGGCGUGGGGAGCAAACAGG